UACGUAGGUUGCAAGCGUUGUUCGGAAUUAUUGGGCGUAAAGCGCGUGUAGGCGGUUUGCUAAGUCUGGUGUGAAAGCCCGGGGCUCAACCCCGGAAGUGCACUGGAUACUGGCAGACUAGAGGACGGGAGAGGAAGGUGGAAUUCCUGGUGUAGGGGUGAAAUCCGUAGAUAUCAGGAGGAACAUCGGCGGCGAAGGCGGCCUUCUGGCUCGUUACUGACGCUGAGACGCGAAAGCGUGGGGAGCAAACAGG
rnacentral:rRNA from 1 species